AACAGGAUUAGAUACCCUGGUAGUGCACGCCGUAAACGAUGUCGACUUGGAGGUUGUUCCCUUGAGGAGUGGCUUCCGGAGCUAACGCGUUAAGUCGACCGCCUGGGGAGUACGGCCGCAAGGUUAAAACUCAAAUGAAUUGACGGGGGCCCGCACAAGCGGUGGAGCAUGUGGUUUAAUUCGAUGCAACGCGAAGAACCUUACCUACUCUUGACAUCCAGAGAACUUAGCAGAGAUGCUUUGGUGCCUUCGGGAGCUCUGAGACAGGUGCUGCAUGGCUGUCGUCAGCUCGUGUUGUGAAAUGUUGGGUUAAGUCCCGCAACGAGCGCAACCCUUAUCCUUUGUUGCCAGCGAUUCGGUCGGGAACUCAAAGGAGACUGCCGGUGAUAAACCGGAGGAAGGUGGGGAUGACGUCAAGUCAUCAUGGCCCUUACGAGUAGGGCUACACACGUGCUACAAUGGCGCAUACAAAGAGAAGCGACCUCGCGAGAGCAAGCGGACCUCAUAAAGUGCGUCGUAGUCCGGAUCGGAGUCUGCAACUCGACUCCGUGAAGUCGGAAUCGCUAGUAAUCGUGGAUCAGAAUGCCACGGUGAAUACGUUCCCGGGCCUUGUACACACCGCCCGUCACACCAUGGGAGUGGGUUGCAAAAGAAGUAGGUAGCUUAACCUUCGGGAGGGCGCUUACCACUUUGUGAUUCAUGACUGGGGUGAAGUCGUAACAAGGUAACC
rnacentral:rRNA from 1 species